CACCAUAACCAUGACCUUAUUCUAAGCUUAAUCCUAAAAUCAAGUUCUAACCCUCAAACAGCCCUUUAAACUUAGACUGCAAAAGUAUACUG